rnacentral:rRNA from 1 species
GACGAACGCUGGCGGCGUGCUUAACACAUGCAAGUCGAACGGAAAGGCCCUGCUUUUGUGGGCUGCUCGAGUGGCGAGCGGGUGAGUAACACGUGAGUAACCUGCCCCUUACUUUGGGAUAAUUUCAGGAAACUGGGGUAACUAACGCCUAGUAGCUCCUGCUGAAUGGUGGGGGUUGGAAAGUUUCGGCGGGUGGGGAUGGGUGCGCGGCUUAGCAGCUUGUUGGGGGGGUAGUGGCUUACCAAGGCAUGGCAGGGUAGCCGGCCUGAGAGGGUGACCGGCCACAUGGGGACUGAGAGACGGCGCAGACUCCAACGGGAGGCAGCAGUGGGGAGUAUGACACAGUGGGGGGGAGCGUGAGGCAGCAACGCCGCGUGCGGGAUGACGGCCUUCGGGUGGUGAACCGAUUUCGCCUGUGACGAAGCGUGAGUGACGGUAAUGGGUAAAGAAGCACCGGCUAACUCCGUG